UCGGUGCGGUCUUAUAUACUACCUAAAUGGACGAGUCCAAGUCCCAAUUUAAGGGUUGUCAAGAAGGUUUGCUUAUCACAUGACUUAACAAGUCUAUUAUCAAUACAAGGGGUGUUUCAGUACUAAACAAAGUGUGCUCCUUAUUUAGGAGGAAAUAAAUGUAACAAAUGAACAGAUUGACAUGCUUUAACUCUUUUCACUCCCCGGAACUAUUGUGUACAAUAACAAAACAGGUAUUUUCGUGACAU
rnacentral:lncRNA from 1 species